rnacentral:misc_RNA from 1 species
AAGGAUCAUUAACACGAAAUUUUAUAUUUCUUAUCCAAUAUCAAAAACCAAACGUGAACAUUUCUCCUCCCUAUAUAUAUAUCUCGAUAUAUAUAUAGGCUAAACCCCUUUUUUAAUAUUUUAACCCCUUUAAACUUAACUUGUUUCAUUCACUUUGAAACAGCUAAACACUAAAGAAAAAUUGAGUUAUUCGAAAGAGUAUACUUCAUAAUUUUUUUUUCGAUUUACGAAAUAAUAAUUAAAAGAACAACUCUUAACAAUGGAUAUCUUGGUUCUC